rnacentral:rRNA from 1 species
AUUGAACGCUGGCGGCAUGCCUUACACAUGCAAGUCGAACGGCAGCACGGGAGCAAUCCUGGUGGCGAGUGGCGAACGGGUGAGUAAUGUAUCGGAACGUACCUUUCAGUGGGGGAUAACGUAGCGAAAGUUACGCUAAUACCGCAUAUUCUGUGAGCAGGAAAGCAGGGGAUCUUAGGACCUUGCGCUGAUUGAGCGGCCGAUAUCAGAUUAGCUAGUUGGUGAGGUAAAGGCUCACCAAGGCGACGAUCUGUAGCGGGUCUGAGAGGAUGAUCCGCCACACUGGAACUGAGACACGGUCCAGACUCCUACGGGAGGCAGCAGUGGGGAAUUUUGGACAAUGGGCGCAAGCCUGAUCCAGCCAUGCCGCGUGAGUGAAGAAGGCCUC